rnacentral:rRNA from 1 species
ACUCAAAUGAAUUGACGGGGACUUGCACAAGCAGUGGAUUAUGUGGUUUAAUUCGAUGGUAAACGAAGAACCUUACCAAGGUUAGAAAUCCUAUUGAAAUCCCGGAGAAACUCGGGACCUCGCAAGACAAUAGGACAGGUGAUGCAUGGCCGUCGUCAGUUCGUGGUUUGAAUUGUUCCCUUAAGUGGGGUAACGAACGCAACCCUCGUUGUGUGUUACAAGUGUCACACGAGACCGCCCCCGCCUAAGUUUUUAAACGAAAGUUUGAAAUUUUAGGCGGGGGAGGAAGGAGAGGAUGACGCCAGGUCAGCAUGUCCCUUGAUACCUUGGGCUACACACAUAAUACAAUGGCUACUACAACGCGCAGCGACGAGGCGACUCUGAGCUAAUCGUCUAAAAGUAGCCUCAGUUCGGAUUGGAGUCUGCAACUCGACUCCAUGAAGCUGGAAUUGCUAGUAAUCACAGGUCAGCUAAACUGUGGUGAAUACGUUCUCAAGUCUUGUACACACCGCCCGU